rnacentral:lncRNA from 1 species
ACCUGUAUUCCCCCAUGCAAGCAUACCCACAAAGUGUAUUAAAAUAGCACGUGUGCAGGCCAGAUGUGAUAAAGCAGGUUCUACACAAUGCUCUUCAAAAAGAAAAAAAUCCUCCCGUUUAAUUAGUUGACUGGUGCCUCUUCUUUGGUGUCUGAAGUUUCCUUCUUGUGGUCGGAAGAAUGGCAGUGGAAUCUGUCCCAGAGAGGGGACACUCAUACCUUAGACAGACUCUGCAACAGUGAAUCUUUCGUCUCAUCUUUCCAGAAUGGAGAACUUAACCGGUACCCUAUGCCCGGGUCAUACGCUAAGAAUGUUCUGAAAAAACAAUACAAGGGCCAGAUUUGAUAUGAAAGAAUACAAAUAAUUUCAAGUAAAUUUAUCCAGAAGCAUUUUCAUUUAAAAUAUGUUGUUUCUUCAAAUCCUCUUCUCAAACCAACUUACAUCAGACUUUGGUACUCCCACUCUCUAGAGACACUCUCCUCAGCCCUUUCCUGUUCAGACCCACACUUAUCUUCACUUCACUAGAGCUGUUGUUCAAUUCGUGAUCUUCACAUCACUGAACUUGUUAACAGCAUUAAAUUAAAUGAUGAAACACAUUUUUAAUUUUUUUCAUAAAGUUGUAUUAUCUAAUCAUGCAUGCUUAAUUUUUAAAAUAUCUUUACUCAUUUUUGAAACAUAUAUAAAAGAAAUCAUAACAACAUGUAAAAUGUUGCAUAGGGCUUUUGUCACUUAAUAUAAUACAAUGUUUAGGGAACAUUCAUUGAUUUUCAUUAGUAUAUAGUAUUACGUAUUGUAAAUAUGUUAUAUAUAUUUAUCUGUUCUGCUCCUUAUUGACAUUAAGUUUUCUUCCAGUUUAGCACCAUUUGAAAUAAAGUUGCUAUGAAAAUUGUGCAAUUAUUUUGUACAUAUAAGCAUACAUUUCCACAGGGUAUAUACCUAGGAGUGAAAUUUACUGGGUAAGGGGGCAUGUUUAUUCAAACAUAUGAGAUAAUGUGAAUAUUUUUUCCAAAGUGUUUGUGUCAAUUUGAACUUCUUCCAGGAACUUUAUGAGCAUUUUAUUUACUCCACUUUGCCACUUAUGCUUAGUAUUAUUAUGUUCUUAUCUGUUGGUUACAAUGUGGUUAUUAAAAGCACACUGUAGUAACAAUGUGCUUUUAAUCUGCAUUUUCUAACUAGGUGUUGAGGACUUUCCAUAUGUUUCUUGGAUAUACAGAUUUAGUUUUAGAAACUGCCUGUUAAGUCUUCAUAUUAUUAUUAUUAUUAUUAUUUUAGCAGUAAACUGUACUGCCUCAUAUACCUAUAGUAGUUCUCUGUGUAUUCAGAAUACAAGUACUUCCCCUUUUAUCAAGUGUUAUCAAUCUGAUUUCCCAUUCUGUGGCUUGGCUCAUGAAUUUGUAUUAAGAAGUAUAACUGUGUCUUUUGUUAAGAACAAAUCUUUUGUUCUAAUGUUUUCAAAUUUCUUAACACUUACUUUUAUUAUGGCUUUAUUAUUAGUGCAUUUUAUAUGUAUUAAUAAAUCAUUCCCUGCAC